rnacentral:SRP_RNA from 1 species
GACGGGCGCCGUGGCUGGUGUCUGUAGUUCCAGCUACUCUGGAGGCUGAGGCAGGAGGAUUGCUUGAGCUGGGAGUUCUGGGCUGCAGUGCACUCUGCCAACUGGGUGUCUUCACUAAGUUUGACAUCAAUAUGGUGACCUCCUGGGUGCAGGGGACCAUCAGGUUGCCUAAGGAGGGGUGAACCAGCCCAGGUUGGAAACGGAGCAAGUCAAAAGUCCUGUGCUGAUCAGUAGUGGGACUGUGCUGUGAAUUGCCACUGUUUCCAGCCUGGCAACAUAGCAAGACCCCAUCUCUA